UCCCUAGAUGUUCUGGGCCGCACGCGCGCUACACUGAACAGUUCAACAAGUCUUAACCUUGGCCGAUAGGUCUGGGUAAUCUUUGAACGCUGUUCGUGAUUGGGAUAGACCUUUGCAAUUAUGGGUCUUCAACGAGGAAUUCCUAGUAAACGCAAGUCAUCAGCUCGCAUUGAUUACGUCCCUGCCCUUUGUACACACCGCCCGUCGCACCUACCGAUUGAAUGGUCCGGUGAAAUCUCGGGACGGCGGCUUGGUCGCUUGCGUCCGACUGCUGAAACUUGAUUAAACCAUAUCAUUUAGAGGAAGGUGAAGUCGUAACA
rnacentral:rRNA from 1 species